GUGAGGAAUAUUGGUCAAUGGGCGGAAGCCUGAACCAGCCAUGCCGCGUGAAGGAUGAAGGUUCUAUGGAUUGUAAACUUCUUUUAUUUGGGAAUAAACCCUCCGACGUGUUGGAGGCUGAAGGUACCACAUGAAUAAGCACCGGCUAACUCCGUGCCAGCAGCCGCGGUAAUACGGAGGGUGCAAGCGUUAUCCGGAAUCAUUGGGUUUAAAGGGUCCGCAGGAGGAUUUAUAAGUCAGUGGUGAAAGCCUACAGCUCAACUGUAGAACUGCCAUUGAUACUGUAAGUCUUGAAUUCGGUCGAAGUGGGCGGAAUAUGACAUGUAGCGGUGAAAUGCAUAGAUAUGUCAUAGAACACCGAUAGCGAAGGCAGCUCACUAGGCCUGAAUUGACGCUCAUGGACGAAAGCGUGGGGAGCAAACAGGAUUAGAAACCCCGGUAGUCC
rnacentral:rRNA from 1 species